rnacentral:rRNA from 1 species
CACAUGAACAUCGACGUUUCGAACGCACAUUGCGGUCCAUGGAUUCCGUUCCCGGGCCACGUCUGGCUGAGGGUCGGCUACGUAUACUGAAGCGCGCAGGCGUUUGCCGCUCGCUUCGGAGACUUGGGAGCGUCGUGGCGGAGAGGCCUGCCUCUCUUUGCUGCGUCUCCUGAAAUGCGCCAUGCGCGCCGGCGCCCGUCGCCUGGUCGGUUCGCAUACCGGUACUGUGUCUCGGUAGCGUGCACAGCCGACUGGGCGUACGUGGUGCCACCCAUCUCGUACAACGACCUCAGAGCAGGCGAGACUACCCGCUGAAUUUAAGCAUAUCAAUAAGCGGAGGAA